rnacentral:rRNA from 1 species
AGUGAACGCUGGCGGUAGGCCUAACACAUGCAAGUCGAACGGCAGCACCGUAAGAGCUUGCUCUUACGGGUGUCGAGUGGCGGACGGGUGCGGAAUACAUCGGAAUCUACUUUUUCGUGGGGGCUAACGUAGGGAAACUUACGCUAAUACCGCAUACGACGUACGGGUGAAAGCAGGGGAUCUUCGGACCUUGCGCGAUUGAAUGAGCCGAUGUCGGCUUAGCUAGUUGGCGGGGUAGAGGCACACCAAGGCGACGAUCCGUAGAUGGUCUGAGAGGAAGAUCAGCUACACGGGAACUGAGACAGGGCAGAGACUCCUGCGGUAGGAAGCGGCGGGGAAUCUUGGACAAGGGGGGAGAGGCUGAUCCAGGACUACCGGGUGAGGGAAGAAGGCCUAAGGGUGGGAAAGUCAUUUUGUUGUGAGGGAAAUGCAGCAGGUUAAUACGGCGCUGUUAUGACGGUACCGGAAGAAUAAGCACCGGCUAACUUCGUG